rnacentral:rRNA from 1 species
AGCAGCCGCGGUAAUUCCAGCUCCAAUAGCGUAUAUUAAAGUUGCUGCAGUUAAAAAGCUCGUAGUUGAAUUUCGGGGUUAGUAGAUUGGUCAUGCCUCUGGUAUGCACUGGUCUUACUGAUUCCUCCUUCCUGAUGAACCGUAAUGCCAUUAAUUUGGUGUUGCGGGGAAACUGGACUGUUACUUUGAAAAAUUAGAGUGUUUAAAGCAGGCUAACGCUUGAAUACAUUAGCAUGGAAUAAUGAAAUAGGACGUUCGAUCUUAUUUUGUUGGUUUCUAGGAUUGACGUAAUGAUUAAUAGGGAUAGUUGGGGGCAUUAGUAUUCAAUUGUCAGAGGUGAAAUUCUUGGAUUUAUUGAAGACUAACUACUGCGAAAGCAUUUGCCAAGGAUGUUUUCAUUAAUCAAGAACGAAAGUUAGGGGAUCGAAGACGAUACAGAUACCGUCGUAGUCUUAACCAUAAACUAUGCCGACUAGGGAUCGGAUGAUGUUAAUUUUUAAUGUACUCAUUCGGCGUACCC